rnacentral:rRNA from 1 species
GAUGAACGCUGGCGGCGUGCCUAAUACAUGCAAGUCGAGCGAACAGACGAGGAGCUUGCUCCUCUGACGUUAGCGGCGGACGGGUGAGUAACACGUGGAUAACCUACCUAUAAGACUGGGAUAACUUCGGGAAACCGGAGCUAAUACCGGACAAUAUAUUGAACCGCAUGGUUUAAUAGUGUAAGACGGUUCUGCUGUUACUUAUAGAUGGCUCCGCGCCGCAUUAGCUAGUUGGUAAGGUAACGGCUUACCAAGGCAACGAUGCGUAGCCGCCCUGAGAGGGUGACCGGCCACUGUGGAACUGAGACACGGGCCAAGCGCCCACGGGAGCCAGCAGUAGGGAAUAUUCCGCAAAGGGCGAAAGCCUGACGGAGCAACGCCGUGUGGGUGAUGAAGGUCCUCGGAUCGUAAAACUCUGUUAUUAGGGAAGAACAAAUGUGUAAGUAACUAUGCACGUCUUGACGGUACCUAAUCAGAAAGCCACGGCUAACUACGUG